rnacentral:misc_RNA from 1 species
AUGUCAAUUCUUAGAUUAAUAUUUAUUUUUGUUCCUCUUAUCGUUGUUUUUUGUGGGUUAUGAAAUUUUGUUUCUAACCGAAAACAUUUACUUAGAGUCCUUCUAAGUUUAGAAUUUAUUAUAUUAGGCAUUUUUUGAGUCAUAGUAAUUUGUUUAGCUAAAGUAGGAAUCGAAGCUUAUUUUACUUUAUUUUUUUUAACUAUAGCAGCUUGUGAGGGUGCUUUGGGUCUUUCUUUAUUGAUUUCUAUUGUGCGGACUCAUGGUAACGAUUGUUUCAGAAGUUUUAGAACACUACAAUGUUAA